CAGUCGCCACGGUAAUACGAGGGGUGCAAGCGUUAUUCGGAUUGAUAGGGUGUAAAGGGUGUGCAGACGGCUUAUUAAGUCACUUGUUAAAUUCUUCGGCCUAACUGAAGGUCUGCAAGUGAUACUGAUGAGCUAGAGGGUGGAAGAGAGAAGUGGAAUUCUCGGAGUAGCGGUAAAAUGCGUAGAUCUCGAGAGGAACACCAAUGGCGAAGGCAGCUUCUUGGUCCAUUCCUGACGUUCAUACACGAAAGCGUGGGGAGCAAACAGGAUUAGAUACCCCCGUAGUCCCUGUCUCUUAUAC
rnacentral:rRNA from 1 species